UACAGAGGUCUCAAGCGUUGUUCGGAUUCAUUGGGCGUAAAGGGUGUGUAGGUGGCGCCGUAAGUCGGGUGUGAAAUUUCGGAGCUUAACUCCGAAACUGCAUUCGAUACUGCGGUGCUUGAGGACUGGAGAGGAGACUGGAAUUCCGAGUGUAGAGGUGAAAUUCGUAGAUAUUCGGAAGAACACCAGUGGCGAAGGCGGCUCACUGGACUGGUAUUGACGCUGAGGUGCGAAAGCGUGGGGAGCAAACAGG
rnacentral:rRNA from 1 species